rnacentral:misc_RNA from 1 species
UUUCCGUAGGUGAACCUGCGGAAGGAUCAUCAUAAUAAAGUGUUUUAUGGCACUUUUUAAAAAUCCAUAUCCACCUUGUGUGCAAUGUUAGAUCUCGUCAAUCUUGGCGAGAUUUUUAUACAUCAACUCAUUCUUUAACUAAUUUGUCUGAAAAAUAUUAUGAAUACUUAAUUCAAAAUACAACUUUCAACAACGGAUCUCUUGGCUCUC